CUUACAGCAGAUGCCCUGGUCCUCUGGCUCUGACAAUACUUCCACUCUCUCCUCUAAGGCGUUUCUUGAGCUCUAGGUCUAGGAGUUGUGUUGUAGGUAUAUCAGUUGGGCUAAGGCACUCUGCAGCCAGUAUUGUAUGCCAUUUUCAGACCUAUGUUUUCAGUUUUACCUUCCCCUGCUGAUGUGCCUUACUGAUUAAAAAAAAAAAGAAGAAGAAAGAAGUAUCUACCAUUUAGGAUGGAUAAAAUAAUUAUUAUUAAGUAUCACACUGGGGGAAGCUGUUUCUGCAGUGACGAACUCUUCUAAUUGGCCAGCGACUCAUCCUAGAAAACCCCUUUGUAGAAUGAAAACAAGAAAUUCCAUGUGAUUCAAAAUGAAAAGAAACUUUUCAACUCAAUUUAAACUCUCAAAGAUGGGCAAAAUAUUCCAAGAAAACAUUAGAAGACAAUAAAUAAAAUGAAAAUAAAUAUGUAUUCUUUGUGAUUUGGCUGUGGAGUCAAGCCAGCUGAGCAAAGGUUUGUGCUGCAGAUUUCUGAAAGCCUUGGACUUAGGAGUAUCAUGAUGGGAUUAAAGGAGAGAUUGAUAACUUUAAAAAUAUCAGAAGAAACUAUCUUCCAAAACUAGUAACUGUACAAUCUAAGUUUGAUGAGCAGUGUUAAGAAAGAAUUCUCUAGAUCUUGGAAGGUAAUUACAACCCAUAGGCAUAUAUGCGUGCACACGACCAUGUAUGCAUGUACUCACAUGCCCUUACACACACACACACACACACACACACACACAUACAUAUGAAUGAAAUUAUAAAUGCAAAGAGAAAUCUGUGUGGUGUAUAGGCAUAUGCCUGAAAUGCCUGCUCUGGAGAGACAGACAAGAACUUGAGGACAACCUGGGCUACACAGCAAGAUGGUUUAACAAAACAGACACA